UAUUUGGGAAAUUUGAAGGUGCUCAAUCUCUCCUUCAAUAGCUUGAAAUAUGACAUUUUGCCGAGAUUCAUACUGUCGGAGAAGCUACUUGUUCUGGACCUGAGUUCCAACGAUUUCUCUGGUCUUCUACCGAGUAAAAUUGCAACAACAACAGA